CUGUUAACGUUACCUUGAAAUCUUCAGUGAGUAACUGAAAAAGAUAACGGUUUUUUAUUUAAACUCUACUACAUGCGCGAGGAACUCCUCACGCUUGCCUUCAGGUACCUUUUAUAUUGAAGAAGUGAAGUGAUUUUGUGUGACACCACCAUGUAUUAACGUUAGAGUAAAAGUUAAAAAUCACUUGCCAGUACGUACACCUGGUUCAAGUCAAACAAGCUUAUCAAUCGACUGUAAAAUACUUUUACACAUGCAUUAACAACUAUUAAAUUGUAUUUAAAAAUUGAGAAUACUGACUUUUGUUUGUCUAAUAGUUCACAUGUUUAUGUAUUUUGUAACAGUGAAUAUGAAUUUAUUACAGUUCACAUCUGCGCUGAGGUUGCAUGGUCCAGGUUUUCAAGAAUGAGUUCACUACGGAUGAGCUGCGCACGUCUAUAGCAGAAAUAUGCUUACUGUAGAAUUCGCCCACCACUGAAUCUUGACCAUGAUCCUUUGCAGAUCUACAGUAAAAUGCUGUGUACAGGUUCUACAUGAAUUUUGAAUUUUACAUGGUGAUCAGCUGCAUCCUAUUAUCAUCAGCUUUCCUGCUACUGCCCUGGGGAUUACUCUUAAAGUUUCAAACUAAGUAUGAUAUAGUUGUGUUCAUUGAACUAAGAGUUUAUAGCAAACAAUUAUAUUGUGCCCACAUCAAUAUAUAAAUACAUAUGUGUACUUUGUAGCUUACACUUUUAAAGACUAUGGCUUACAAAUUAAACUGUCCAUCAUUAUCAAUUACCAGAUAUUAUUUUCCAACAAGAGAGCCACUGUUGGCUGAACCUUUUUUUUUGAUAGACUAGUAUUCUGAACCUAUAUACCUAUAUAAUAUUCUCUCUCCUUCCACCAUGUCAAAAACUGUAUAUAAACAGUAAAUUCCAAUGUCGACAGUGUGUAUGUAUGUAGUGUGUGUUGGGGCAACAAAUAUGUGAAAAUGCCCAGCAGUGCGUCCUCAGAAGCAAGAUAAGUAAGCAUGUUAAUUAAAUUUAAUUGAGUUUGGUUUAUUUAUUCAUGAUACAUAAACAUUUUGUUUUUGCACACAUUAAACUUCUGGUGUCAAAAUAUAUAAUGCAUGUCCUAUAAUAAAAUAAUGUAUCCAUAUUUCUUAAA